rnacentral:ncRNA from 1 species
AUCGCGAGGUUUGGGCGAGAAGAAGGGAUAGCGAAAUCGUAGCCUGACGAACAGAAACCUAAUACCAAGGCGCAUACGGCGGAUAAGCGGGCCAGAAGCCGUGAAGUCCAAAAGUUGGUCGUAACCCGUGUGUGUAAAUUAGGCAGGUAGACGAGGAAAGAUAG